UAACUUAGGGAGAAGGGGUGCCUACGAGAGUAGGCCGCAGUGAAUAGGCUCAAGCAACUGUUUAUCAAAAACACAGGUCUCUGCUAAAGCGUAAGCUGAUGUAUAGGGGCUGACGCCUGCCCGGUGCUGGAAGGUUAAGGGGAAUAGUUAGCGCAAGCGAAGCUAUGAACUUAAGCCCCAGUAAACGGCGGCCGUAACUAUAACGGUCCUAAGGUAGCGAAAUUCCUUGUCGGGUAAGUUCCGACCCGCACGAAUGGCGUAAUGAUUUGAGCACUGUCUCGGCAAUAAAUCCGGUGAAAUUGUAGUGCAAGUGAAGAUGCUUGCUACCCGCGGUUGGACGGAAAGACCCCGUAGAGCUUUACUGUAGCUUAGCAUUGAAUUUCGGUAUUGUCUGUACAGGAUAGGUGGGAGACUUAGAAGCGAGGGCGUCAGCUUUCGUGGAGUCGUCCUUGGGAUACCACCCUGACAGUACUGGAAUUCUAACUGGAGGCCAUGAAUCUGGUCACAGGACAUUGCUAGGUGGGCAGUUUGACUGGGGCGGUCGCCUCCUAAAAGGUAACGGAGGCGCCCAAAGGUUCCCUCAGCGCGGUCGGAAAUCGCGCGUAGAGUGCAAAGGCAGAAGGGAGCCUGACUGCGACACAUACAGGUGGAGCAGGGACGAAAGUCGGGCUUAGUGAUCCGGUGGUGCUGUAUGGAAGGGCCAUCGCUCAACGGAUAAAAGCUACCUCGGGGAUAACAGGCUGAUCUCCCCCAAGAGUCCACAUCGACGGGGAGGUUUGGCACCUCGAUGUCGGCUCGUCGCAUCCUGGGGCUGUAGUCGGUCCCAAGGGUUGGGCUG
rnacentral:rRNA from 1 species